rnacentral:ncRNA from 1 species
CCGCCCGGCCACGUCACGGGUUGUCCGGCUUGCCGGACCGAAGAGGGAAGCCGGUUCAAAUCCGGCGCUGUCCCCGCAACUGUGACCGGGGAGUUCCGUCCCGAAUGGCCACUGGCGGCUUGUGACAAAGCGCCGGGAAGGUGGGGCGGCGCGACGAUCCGGGAGCCAGGAGACCUGCCCGAGAUGGUCGUUCCGCG